CACGCCGUAAACGAUGAAUGCUAGGUGUCGGGGGUCAAACCUCGGUGCCGAAGUUAACACAUUAAGCAUUCCGCCUGGGGAGUACGGUGGCAACACUGAAACUCAAAGGAAUUGACGGGGACCCGCACAAGCAGCGGAGCAUGUGGUUUAAUUCGAUGCAACGCGAAGAACCUUACCAGGGCUUGACAUAUAUGCGCUAGCACUAGAGAUAGUGGGUUCUCUUCGGAGACGCAUAUACAGGUGG
rnacentral:rRNA from 1 species